rnacentral:rRNA from 1 species
CAUGCAGCCGAGCGGUAGAGAUCUUUCGGGAUCUUGAGAGCGGCGUACGGGUGCGGAACACGUGUGCAACCUGCCUUUAUCAGGGGGAUAGCCUUUCGAAAGGAAGAUUAAUACCCCAUAAUAUAUUGAGUGGCAUCACUUAAUAUUGAAAACUCCGGUGGAUAGAGAUGGGCACGCGCAAGAUUAGAUAGUUGGUGAGGUAACGGCUCACCAAGUCUGCGAUCUUUAGGGGGCCUGAGAGGGUGAUCCCCCACACUGGUACUGAGACACGGACCAGACUCCUACGGGAGGCAGCAGUGAGGAAUAUUGGACAAUGGGUGCGAGCCUGAUCCAGCCAUCCCGCGUGAAGGACGACGGCCCUAUGGGUUGUAAACUUCUUUUGUAUAAGGGAUAAACCCUACUCUCGUGAGGAGUAGCUUGAAGGUACUAUACGAAUAAGCACCCGGCUAACUCCGUGGCCAGCAGCCCGCCGGUAAUACGGAGGGUGCAAAGCGUUAUCCGGAUUUAUUGGGUUAAAGGGGUCCGUAGGCGGAUCUGUAAGUCAGUGGUGAAAUCUCACAGCCUUACUGUGAACUGGCCAUUGAUACUCCAGUCUUGAAUGUUGUUGAAGUACCGGAAUAAGUAUGUAGCGGUGAAUGCAUAGAUAUACUAGACCCCAUUGGCAGGCCGGUUACUAGCA